CAUGUAAUAAAGGUUAAUAAAUGUGAGAGUGGGUCUGAGGAGAGAAAGAGAGAAGAGAUGAUCAUGGGAAGUCCCCCAGCAGCCUCGGCCUAUAACAGCAUAACUAGUAGAGUCUGAGGUAGCUUUAAACAGACAGCAAGAGGGUGAUGAAGUGACUUUGCUGUUCUGUCUCUCUCUCUGUUUGUUUUAUAUUUUCUUACUUUAAAGUUAAGCA